rnacentral:rRNA from 1 species
GACUACACAUGCAAGUCGAGCGGUAACACAGGGAGCUUGCUCCUGGGUGACGAGCGGCGGACGGGUGAGUAAUGUCUGGGAAACUGCCUGAGGGAGGGGGAUAACUACUGGAAACGGUAGCUAAUACCGCAUAACGUCGCAAGACCAAAGAGGGGGACCUUCGGGCCUCUUGCCAUCAGAUGUGCCCAGAUGGGAUUAUCUAGUAGGUGGGGUAAUGGCUCACCUAGGCGACGAUCCCUAGCUGGUCUGAGAGGAUGACCAGCCACACUGGAACUGAGACACGGUCCAGACUCCUACGGGAGGCAGCAGUGGGGAAUAUUGCACAAUGGGCGCAAGCCUGAUGCAGCCAUGCCGCGUGUAUGAAGAAGGCCUUCGGGUUGUAAAGUACUUUCAGCGAGGAGGAAGGCAUUAAGGUUAAUAACCUUGGUGAUUGACGUUACUCGCACAAAAAGCACCGGCUAACUCCGUGCCAGCAGCCGCGGUAAUACGGAGGGUGCAAGCGUUAAUCGGAAUUACUGGGCGUAAAGCGCACGCAGGCGGUCUGUCAAGUCGGAUGUGAAAUCCCCGGGCUCAACCUGGGAACUGCAUUCGAAACUGGCAGGCUAGAGUCUUGUAGAGGGGGGGUAGAAUUCCAGGUGUAGCGGUGAAAUGCGUAGAGAUCUGGAGGAAUACCGGUGGCGAAGGCGGCCCCCUGGGACAAAGACUGACG